rnacentral:rRNA from 1 species
UAAGAUAAUUCACAAAAGAAAGAGUUUAAUGUUAGCUCCGAAU